rnacentral:rRNA from 1 species
CCUACGGGGGGCUGCAGUGGGGAAUAUUGCACAAUGGGGGAAACCCUGAUGCAGCGACGCCGCGUGAGUGAAGAAGUAUUUCGGUAUGUAAAGCUCUAUCAGCAGGGAAGAAAAUGACGGUACCUGAUUAAGAAGCCCCGGCUAACUACGUGCCAGCAGCCGCGGUAAUACGUAGGGGGCAAGCGUUAUCCGGAUUUACUGGGUGUAAGGGGAGCGUAGACGGCAGCACAAGUCUGGAGUGAAAUGCCGGGGCUUAACCCCGGAACUGCUUUGGAAACUGUGCAGCUAGAGUGCAGGAGAGGUAAGUGGAAUUCCUAGUGUAGCGGUGAAAUGCGUAGAUAUUAGGAGGAACACCAGUGGCGAAGGCGGCUUACUGGACUGUAACUGACGUUGAGGCUCGAAAGCGUGGGGAGCAAACAGGAUUAGAUACCCGUGUAGUC